AUGCUUCAGACAUUUACACAUUUUACAGUUGGGUACAUGCAUCACACUGAACUUUCACUCUUCAUUUUUAGGUCGACACAGAACAACAGAGAAUCCAGCACCAUCUUACCUGUAGCAGAAUCUCACCUGUCAACAGGAAAAAUAUCCGAGGAUGUUUUUGGCAACUUCACAUGAGAUUCUUCAAUCAGAUGAGAUAGUGGUGGCCUGGGAUCUGAAGUUUGAGUUCUUUGCAUUAGAUUUCAUCUUACAUCAGCCAUGUAAGAGCAUCUCACACCCCACACCGAGAUGACUGAUGGCGUUUUAGUGUGACAAGACUUUCAUCAUCGCUGUAUUCUGCUCCUCAAACUGACAAGAGCUAGAGUCGACCGCAGUGCAGAUGUGUUUGUUUAUCUGUGAGCUGUUCGCUAGAGGAUAACCGUAUAGACAGAUCACUCGCCGAUCAGACCCCACGCGACUUCCUCCCAGAGAGACUGCCAUCAUGCUUUAAAAUGUACACAUUCUCUGACCAUGACAAUCAGUUCUGAGCAAUGCAAAGCCUGCUUUAAAGGAAUAGUAUACCCAAAAAAGAAAAUUAGCUGAAAAUGUACUCACCC
ensembl:lncRNA